UUCGCCGCUGCCACCAAGGUUUGUGGAAGAGAGUGUCGUCGUCGCCGUGGGUGGAGUUCACCGUCCGAGCUGCCACCAGAGGAAGCCACCGCCAAUGAACA